rnacentral:rRNA from 1 species
AUGACUGGCGGCGGCCUACACAUGCAAGUCGAGCGGUUGAAGGAAGCUUGCUUCCUGAUUCAGCGGCGGACGGGUGAGUAACGCCUAGGAAUCUGCCUGGUAGUGGGGGACAACGUUUCGAAAGGAACGCUAAUACCGCAUACGUCCUACGGGAGAAAGCAGGGGACCUUCGGGCCUUGCGCUAUCAGAUGAGCCUAGGUCGGAUUAGCUAGUUGGUGAGGUAAUGGCUCACCAAGGCGACGAUCCGUAACUGGUCUGAGAGGAUGAUCAGUCACACUGGAACUGAGACACGGUCCAGACUCCUACGGGAGGCAGCAGUGGGGAAUAUUGGACAAUGGGCGAAAGCCUGAUCCAGCCAUGCCGCGUGUGUGAAGAAGGUCUUCGGAUUGUAAAGCACUUUAAGUUGGGAGGAAGGGCAGUCAGCGAAUACCUUGCUGUCUUGACGUUACCGACAGAAUAAGCACCGGCUAACUCUGUGCCAGCAGCCGCGGUAAU